AGCGAACGCUGGCGGCAGGCCUAACACAUGCAAGUCGAACGAACUCUUCGGAGUUAGUGGCGGACGGGUGAGUAACACGUGGGAACGUGCCUUUAGGUUCGGAAUAACUCAGGGAAACUUGUGCUAAUACCGAAUGUGCCCUUCGGGGGAAAGAUUUAUCGCCUUUAGAGCGGCCCGCGUCUGAUUAGCUAGUUGGUGAGGUAAAGGCUCACCGAGGCGACGAUCAGUAGCUGGUCUGAGAGGAUGAUCAGCCACAUUGGGACUGAGACACGGCCCAAACUCCUGCGGGAGGCAGCAGUGGGGAAUCUUGCGCAAUGGGCGAAAGCCUGACGCAGCCAUGCCGCGUGAAUGAUGAAGGUCUUAGGAUUGUAAAAUUCUUUCACCGGGGACGAUAAUGACGGUACCCGGAGAAGAAGCCCCGGCUAACUUCGUG
rnacentral:rRNA from 1 species